rfam:Aedes albopictus isolate Foshan contig125396, whole genome shotgun sequence.
UGCCCAGCAACUCCUAUCCCUACCUCCACGCGGUACCGGCCGGAAACUAUGAGCAACCUUAAGGAAGAUCGGGUAACCAACCGGUUGGUUGCAACCCCGGUGGGAACUUUGAUCGUAAGCUGACAGGGAAGG